rnacentral:rRNA from 1 species
CCUACGGGAGGCAGCAGUAGGGAAUAUUGGACAAUGGGCGCAAGCCUGAUCCAGCCAUCCCGCGUGAAGGAUUAAGGCCCUCUGGGUUGUAAACUUCUUUUCUCUGGGAAUAAAAACCGGUAUUCAUACUGGCUUGAAGGUACCAGAGGAAUAAGCACCGGCUAACUCCGUGCCAGCAGCCGCGGUAAUACGGAGGGUGCAAGCGUUAUCCGGAUUCACUGGGUUUAAAGGGUGCGUAGGUGGCUUUGUAAGUCAGUGGUGAAAUGCCGCAGCUCAACUGCGGAACUGCCAUUGAUACUGCUUAGCUUGAAUCACGUCGAGGUGGAUGGAAUAAUACAUGUAGCGGUGAAAUGCUUAGAUAUGUAUUAGAACACCGAUUGCGAAGGCAGUUCACUAGGCGUGUAUUGACACUGAGGCACGAAAGCGUGGGGAUCAAACAGGAUUAGAUACCCUGGUAGUCCACGCCCUAAACGAUGUAAACUCGACAUUAGCGAUAUACUGUUAGUGUCCAAGCGAAAGCGUUAAGUUUACCACCUGGAAGUACGAACCGCAAGUUGAAACUCAAAGGAAUUGAGGCUUGNGAGNGCGAGACGACGACGAGGAGAGG